rnacentral:lncRNA from 1 species
AAAAAGAUAAAUUAGUGCAGACCGCUCCCCCUUGGUAUAUGUACCUUGGCGCCAAGGCUCUCCCUUCACUUUCUUUUCAAUCGCCGCACAGAGAGCCUCGAUCAUUGCUUCGAAAGAAAGUUACUUACCUUAUUAUUUCAAAAUCUCUUUUAUUGCCAAUCCUUAUUAUUUUUUCCAAAUCAAGUUACGCUCCAGACUUAGGGGUGAAGCACCCCUCCUUUCCCCCUGGUUUUUAGUUCAUGGCCGCUUCAGGGCCAUUCAAACGCUGUGUGGUCUGCAACAACAAAGUCCCACUUUCUGACGGCUGUGCUAAGUGCCUUUUUGCCUCAGUGAGGCUCAUCAAACGUCUUCCUGCCCUCACUGCAAAAACUUCAAGCACAGAAUUCUCCGCAGUCACCUUUCUAGGCUCAAACUUCAGCUUUGGGAGUAAUCUCUCCAGUCUGCUAAGCCCAUGGCCCAACGUUCCUGUAAAUCCAUACCCCAUGCUAAAACCAUGGAUAAAGCUAUUUGCAAGAUGGCAAAACAACGUCCUUCAUCUCCAUCUAGUUCUGAACAUGUCGUGCCCCAACAUCAACUUUUUUGAUCACCAUGCAGAUUCACAAAGCCAAACAGUUGACAUUGAAACCCUUUACAUCAAAACAGCCACCAAACGAAAACCGUUGACUGACGUUUCCUCGGCACCUGAAUCUUCACUACCAAAGAAAGCUAAGUCUUCGAAAUCGAAGCCCUCUAAAGCCAUUUCCACCCCGACUCCACAACCACUGAAGUCCAGAGACCUCAUCUGUGUUGGUUCUGUAUCAGAUGAUGAAGCACUUCCACCUAACCAACCAUCACCAUUGCAGUUUCCCAAAUGGGAACAGUGUGUUGGCCAACUCACAACUUUUCCUAGUAGCCUUCAAAAAUUUUCAGGUUCUCCUAGUGAGUCUUCACCAGUUGCUUCACUGGACAUCCACAGCACUGAAACGCAAAUCAAAAUUGUGCCUUUGAUUCAGUAGGCCUAUCACCUCGGCCUCUGGCACAUCAACAGAGGUACCAAUCCUGCAA